rnacentral:lncRNA from 1 species
GUGGGCACGGAGAGUGUGACAGGAAAUCUAUUCUGAUGACACCUUGAAGACCCAUUGUGGCUACAAAGGAUUAAUGUACCCAUUUGACUGAAGUGCGUUAGGAAUCUGCUCUGCAGAAUUCAUACUACAACACCACUCCUCUUUGACUGUGGUUAUUGGUUAUGGCUGAAUGCAGACAAAGACCGUCAGACAGUGGCACACCAGGAUUGGAACACGCUUCAAAGGCUGAUCUCAGCUGAAGUUUGGGUAGAACAGAACUACUGAGGAUUCGAGUUAUCUUCCAAGGGAAAUAGAAGUUCUUUACAGAUCAGAGCUAAAAGGACUGGGCUGUCUCAGAGUUC